GGAAAGGAGAGGUUCAGAAGAGGAGGAGGAGGGAAGGCAAAUCGACCCUUCAUAGUAGAAAGGAGAGGUUCAGAAGACGAGGAGGGAAGGCAAAUCGACCCUUCAUAGUGGAAAGGAGAGGUUCAGAAGAGGAGGAGGAGGGAAGGUAAAUCGACCCUUCAUAGUGGAAAGGAGAGGUUCAGAAGAGG